AUUGAACGCUGGCGGCAGGCCUAACACAUGCAAGUCGAACGAGUGGCGGACGGGUGAGUAAUGCUUGGGCCUCUAGCUUGUGGAGGGGGAUAACUACGGGAAACUGUAACUAAUACCGCGUACCAUAGGAUGAGCCCAAGUGGGAGUAGGUAGUUGGUGCGGUAAAGGCGCACCAAGCAGACGAUCUCUAGCUGGUCUGAGAGGAUGACCAGCCACACUGGAACUGAGAAACGGCCCAGACUCCUACGGGAGGCAGCAGGGGGGAAUAUUGCACAAUGGGGGGAACCUGACGCAGCCAUGCCGCGUGUAUGAAGAAGGUCUUCGGGUUGUAAAGUUCUUUAAGUAGCGAGGCGUUAACUACAGAAGAAGCACCGGCUAACUCCGUGCCAGCAGCCGCGGUAAUUC
rnacentral:rRNA from 1 species